CCCAUGUCUGUGUCGUGCUGCUCCUGCUCACACGUCUAUGGUCGAAUAAAUAAAGACAAAUCAUAUAGCUUUUGUUUUGUACUUAUGCUGGCUUUGAAGCUUAAGCAUGCUCUUUGGCCUGUCCGUCCUCCAUUACUGUAUAAUCCAGUACUAUCUAAGAGACAGGAAAUGGAUGGGGUCUGUUAUUGUACAGAGUUGACAUGUGUUAUAACAUUGAUCUCUAAGUGCUGUUAGUGAUUCCACUUGAUAGGAUCACUUGCUAGAGCUUUUAAAACAUGUAAUCUGUCACACUCCGAACAUUCAGCGUGAUCGGAAAACAUGCGUUGGGACAGCACACAAACACCGCAUUUUGUUGUAAAAAAACAAAAAUGAUGCCUUGCUCUUUGUGAUGGUGCUGCAUUUAUAUCGUAGUGGUAAAUAAACAUUCUCUGAAUUUAGUUUCCCAAUUGGACAGGUUUGCUUAACUUUUGGAUGUUGGUAGAGGUUUGCCAGUAUCCUGGGGUUGAUGGUUGUUCCCAGGGUUUGAGUAUACCAUGUUUGCACCCGUAAACGUUGUUUGGUUGGUCAGAAUAUUAAAGUAGUUUUCUUGGAUGGACACAUUCGUUGUUGUACUGGUAAUAAUGAUGAUCAAUUUGCUGUUCUAAAGAAUGGGGUAAAAAGCCUAGAGGACAAAAUGGCAUGCAGGAAAUAUUGCCUAUUGCAUUCAAAGCUUGGAGUCUACAAAUCUGGCAGCUGAAUUUAAAUCAGAGCAAUAUUUUCUUCUUUUUGGUCAUUAGCUGAGUUUGCUUUGAUUGCACACCACACAAUAUAUAUAUAGGAACGAAGUUGAUAAAAUAGUUGCUGGAAAAUUCUGCUAAUACCUGGAACAUUUUGUUUUGUUACAUUCAUCUUUUUAUUUAUGCACGAUUUAUAGUUCAGCUCACAUUUUUUGAGACAGCAAAAUAGCAAUGCAGUUUUCGAGCCACAAAAUGCUACUACACACGCCUUCAAGGUCAUUUUUUGAUGAAAUUGUGUGUAUGGGUAUUGUACAUGUGCUGAGACCAGGCAGGAGGCAUAGAUGCAGUGAUGGAUUCCAGUAUGUUCAAAGUUAUUAGAGCAAGAAAGGGAAAAGGAAACAUGGUGGAAAUUAAACUGACUUUACCAGGGAACCUUUUUUAGAUAGUGAGGACUGGACUGUUCUCACCUGUAAUAAACUUAACUAGGGUUUGCAUGGACGAGGAUAGAGAACAGAGUAGUAUUUCAUGCCCCUGGGUACAGGUGGAGUAUUCACUAUAAACUGGCAAAGCUGACAACUAAAGAAAACGAGUAGACGGGAAAGCACAGUUGUGUGGAAAGUCACGGUGACUGCAGCAUUCUGCAUCCAUUUGCUGUGAUGUCUUGAGACUCCAGUCCCUUCCUGUUUUUGUCAACCUCCUCCUGGGUUCUGACCAUCUGUCCAUUCUGUAAUAGUGUUGGUAACCUUAGAGCAGGAAGAUAAAAUAGUGCUGCUUUAAGGUUAUUUUAACAUGACAAGCUUUCCAUGUUUUACUCAGAUCAGAUCUGUCUGUGUUGCUCUUCAUAUUCAUACCCACAAGGCACUUGUCCCUGGAAACACCCUGCAUGUGAUUAUAGACUUUUUUAGGCUAUAGUUUCAAACACUACUUUGUUUUGGUUUCUCCCAGUUUUGCAUGAAUUGAUUCCCAAAUGUCAAGUAACUCGCCAAUUUCUCCAUCCUUCUAGUGAAUAUGGUUCCUGCUGUUGUUGUGCUUCAUGCCACACUGCUGACACUGAAUCAUCAUCGAUAUGAAAUGCUCGCAGUUGUUUCUUUUCCAUAAUUGAUUGUAAAUCAGAAGCCAUGUGGGAUGUAACCCUUUACCCUUAACCGUGUUGCUAUUGAAUCCUGUUGGAGAUUGCAUGCAACAGCACACAUCACUCUGUAUCUUUAAACAUCUGUCUAGCUGACGUAAUAACUCCCAGUGAAAAAUGCUAUUUAUGGAAUGCUGGAUGAUCGUGUCCUGUGAGCAUGAAGAUCUUUCUUGUACAGCCAUUUGCUGCAUCAUGUGGAGAGCGUAGAUUUUUGGGUUUGGUUUGUAGCACUGUUAAAUACUGGCCGGGAUUUCGGGUAAAAUAUUCUGCAGGGGUGCCAGAAUCUGCUGUACCAAAUAUUACAAACGCUUGCAUCAGGAUAUGACUUCUUUCCUCGUGUGCUUUCUGUUUUGCUCUCUUGAACUUCCCCUCCCCCUCAUUCUUCUUCCCCGAGUUUCUUGCCAGCUCCUCAUGCCUCUGUUUCUGUAAUGUUGGCUGUCUCCAUUUCUACCACUUGUCUGCCUCUGAUUCAUUGAUUUCUCCUUUGUUCUCUCCAUGCAUGCUGGUUUAUGAUUAUGCCAGAAACAAGAAUGUGAAUUACAGCAGUUAACGUUGGCACACUUCAUCGAUUGUGAUGGUAGUGAUUCAAUCAAUAAUACGUUCAUUAUUAUUUAUUAUAAAUUCAUUAUCGUGACAAAAGGACUGGCAAUUGUUAUUGAACAAUAAAUAGUUUUUAAAAACAGAAA